CGCGUCCAUCUCCAUGGACGCUAGACUGGGGCAACGCCUGCGGGGUGCUGCCAUCGCUCUGCUCUGUAAAGCUGGUUCAUGUUGAGGCCACCAGGACAUCUGACCCGCUCAGACUGCCAGGAGCUUCCGGCGCUGGCAGUGUCCCAAAUAUUAAAAACAACAGUGGACAAUAGCGUACCAGAUUCUGAUGACUCCUUAUUUUAUGAGGAAUAUCAGGGGUUGGGUUCUGUUUAUCUCUACUAUCUGUCUGCACCAAAAGUUUGAAUGAACAGGACCCUGAUCCAGCCAUAUGAGGAGAGAGCGGAGACCAAGGAGACCAACAGGCCAGGAAGAUGUCUCUAUUCUAAAUGAGUCUUGAAGUGGAAAGUUCUGGUUUCCUUGGAAAGUUAUGCCAAGCAAUGUUUUGCUGGGGCACAAAGGUGAAAGGAUGUCUUGCUAAAGCAAACACGUGAAAGACUGUUUUCCUGAAGCAGACACAGGUGAAAGGGUGUUUGGAUAGAGCAAACUCAUGAAAGGACCUGUGAUGAAGGAGUAGAAACAUGACCCCGCUGACAGUGGGAGACGAGCACAGAGCACUGGUUUGAUUUGCUCCACCUCAAUAUUCUUCUCUAACAACAUUCAUGUAUUGGUUCGCCUUACAUUGAGCUCAACUCUGAUACUGAGAGAAACUCAACAAAGAAACUGCUCAUAAGGUUCCUAUGGUAGCUUGCUGCGUCUAAGGCCUCUCCUCAGGCCAGUUGACAAGCCUGGCAACUUCUCCAGGAUUGAACUACAGUUGCUGGUUCGUGAUUGGUGUCUGCCUGCCAAGAGGACUGGAAUGUAGUUGUUGGUUCAUGGUUGGUGUCUGCCUGCCUAGAGGACUGGUCUGAAGCUGCUGAGUUGUAUUUGGUAUUUGCUAUGGGACUGAUCUGCUGACCAAGAAGAUCAAGCUCACCUCCAAAGAACUAUCGUUGAACAGGUCCACUUCCCUCCAUCCUAAUAACGUGUCUCUUCCACUCCCUCUGCUGAGUGGUAGGCUAGAGGAGAGGUUGAACCCUUCUUAAAAGUAGGUUGCAAAAAAUUUAUGCUACAGAAUUCAUGUUCCUAGUUAUGCCUAUUUUACCUUGUAAGAUCCUGCAUUUGAAUGUAUGUUACAUUACAUCAUACUAUACUACACAGAGCUAUAUAGGCCACCACGAGCCUCUUGAGGCUAGACACUUUAAGAUGGUUUUUCCUCUUUGUGUUACUUCUCUGAGAUAGUAUUUGAAUGUUUGCUGAAAGACUGAAAUGAAUCCGUUUCGAGUAUAUUGCUUUAUGUUCAAAUGCCUUCCACUGAUGUAAAGGUUUUUGGUUGUGUAAAAAAAUCAAAUUAUUAAUACU
ensembl:processed_transcript A430108G06Rik RIKEN cDNA A430108G06 gene